UGCCAGCAGCCUCGGUAAUACGAAGGGGGCUAGCGUUGUUCGGAUUUACUGGGCGUAAAGCGCAUGUAGGCUGUUUAUUUGGUCGGUGGUGAAAGCCUGGGGCUCAACCUCAGAACUGCCAUCGAUACCGGUAAACUAGAGUAUAAGAGAGGAUAGCGGAAUUCCGAGUGUAGAGGUGAAAUUCAUAGAUAUUCGGAGGAACACCAGUGGCGAAAGCGGCUAUCUGGCUUAUUACUGACGCUGAGAUGCGAAAGCGUGGGGAGCAAACAGGAUUAGAUA
rnacentral:rRNA from 1 species